rnacentral:rRNA from 1 species
AGAGUUUGAUCCUGGCUCAGAUUGAACGCUGGCGGCAUGCCUUACACAUGCAAGUCGAACGGCAGCGCGGGGCAACCUGGCGGCGAGUGGCGAACGGGUGAGUAAUAUAUCGGAACGUACCCUGGAGUGGGGGAUAACGUAGCGAAAGUUACGCUAAUACCGCAUACGAUCUACGGAUGAAAGUGGGGGACCGCAAGGCCUCAUGCUCGUGGAGCGGCCGAUAUCUGAUUAGCUAGUUGGUGAGGUAAAGGCUCACCAAGGCGACGAUCAGUAGCUGGUCUGAGAGGACGAUCAGCCACACUGGAACUGAGACACGGUCCAGACUCCUACGGGAGGCAGCAGUGGGGAAUUUUGGACAAUGGGCGCAAGCCUGAUCCAGCAAUGCCGCGUGAGUGAAGAAGGCCUUCGGGUUGUAAAGCUCUUUUGUCAGGGAAGAAACGGUAGGGGCUAAUAUCUCUUGCUAAUGACGGUACCUGAAGAAUAAGCACCGGCUAACUACGUGCCAGCAGCCGCGGUAAUACGUAGGGUGCAAGCGUUAAUCGGAAUUACUGGGCGUAAAGCGUGCGCAGGCGGUUUUGUAAGUUUGUCGUGAAAUCCCCGGGCUUAACCUGGGAAUUGCGAUGAAGACUGCAAGGCUAGAAUCUGGCAGAGGGGGGUAGAAUUCCACGUAGCAGUGAAAUGCGUAGAGAUGUGGAGGAACACCGAUGGCGAAGGCAGCCCCCUGGGUCAAGAUUGACGCUCAUGCACGAAAGCGUGGGGAGCAAACAGGAUUAGAUACCCUAGUAGUCC